AUAGUCGCUCAGCCUUUGGGCCAAGACCAAGUGCAGUAUCUGUUCUUAGUGAACUGCAUAUUUACUACGCCCUCCAUCCAAGAACAAUACCGUAAAUGGAUUUUCGGAGCAGGGAGAUGGAAUGGGAGCAGGCUCCACCCUCCCUCCGGGGAUGGUAUGGCUCCUUGGGGAAGAAAA
ensembl:snRNA U2 U2 spliceosomal RNA